rnacentral:rRNA from 1 species
ACGCGAAGAACUUACCAACUUUUGACAUGUCCCGUAUGGAUUUCAGAGAUGAGAUCCUUCAGUUCGGCUGGCGGGAACACAGGUGCUGCAUGGCUGUCGUCAGCUCGUGUCGUGAGAUGUUGGGUUAAGUCCCGCAACGAGCGCAACCCUCGGCCUUAGUUGCCAUCAUCUAGUUGGGCACUCUAAGGCGACUGCCGGUGAUAAGCCGGAGGAAGGUGGGGAUGACGUCAAGUCCUCAUGGCCCUUACAGGUUGGGCUACACACGUGCUACAAUGGCGGUGACAGAGGGACGCAAAAGGGCAACCUUUCGCAAAUCUCAAAAAGCCGUCUCAGUUCGGAUUGGGGUCUGCAACUCGACCCCAUGAAGUUGGAAUCGCUAGUAAUCGCAGAUCAGCACGCUGCGGUGAAUACGUUCCCGGGUCUUGUACACACCG